UACAGAGGGUGCAAGCGUUAAUCGGAAUUACUGGGCGUAAAGCGCGCGUAGGUGGUUAUUUAAGUUAGAUGUGAAAAACCCGGGCUUAACCUGGGCCGUGCAUUUAAUACUGGAUAGCUAGAGUAUGGUAGAGGAAAGUGGAAUUUCCGGGUGUAGCGGUGAAAUGCGUAGAUAUCGGAAGGAACAUCAGUGGCGAAGGCGCUUUCGUGGACCAAUACUGACACUGAGGCGCGAAAGCGUGGGGAGCAAACAGG
rnacentral:rRNA from 1 species